CCGUGUCUGACAUUUUAAUGAGCUUCACGAUAUUAAUCUUUGCUGGCGACAGGUGUUCCCUCUUUUAUAAGAAGAUGUGUGUGGUGUCGAUGUGUCUGUGUGUGUGUGUGCGUAUCCUGCCAGAUAUGAGAUAAGUUGCAAGCGGAUAGAUUACAGUUGAGGUGGAAAAGUUCAUGCUUCAAAUUUCCUCGACUUUUUACCAUGGCAGCCAAAUGCC